UACAAACACACCUUUUCUUUCUUUUUGUGGGUUACAAACACCACAUAUCUAGCAAACUAAGAUGAAGACUACACAUAUGUUGCUCUUGACCCUCGCCUUCCUCGCGCUAGCAUUAGAAGUGAAGGCGGCAGCAACGACUGGCGUUUGCGCGGGAUCAAUGACCCCGACGCCUAUAAAGUGUGAUGCUCCAGCUUGCCAGCACAUUUGCCGCGCAAUAGUCAACGGUCACCAUGAGUGCCCUGAUUGCAAUUGGACUGCUACGUGCACUGAUCAGGGAUGCCGCUGUGACAUCUGCACACCUAAACGAUACUAGCUUAUCACAAAAGAAAUACUCCCUCCGUUCCAAAAUAGAUGACUCAACUUUGUACUAAUAGUACAAAGUUGAGUCAUCUAUUUUGGAACGGAGGGAGUACUAGCUUAGCGGUAGAAUGGUAUUUUGUUUACUGUAAUAAGAGAGAUUGCAUGAGGUAUAUACUUCAGUUGAUCUAUAGUAGUUCCCGGAGAGUGGUGUGGAAUGUUAAUUCACCAUUUAUUCAAAAUUUUGAAGUGGGCAAUAUGAAGUUUAUGGUAGAGAAAGUAUAACUUCA